AAUGCCUUCAGGUUUAAACAAAUCAAAGAUAGUAAAUUUAAAAUAGAAUGUUUUCACAAAAAUAGAUUUGACACCUCCAAGCCCUUUACAAAAAUUGACUGAAAAAUGUAGCGGAUCCUGGCUCCCCCAAAAAGCUCCUCCGUCAACAUCGCCUGACUAUUUCCAUCGACCAUGGCAGUAAAGGCUUCAUAGUAUCUUUUUAGGAUGUUCAGCAGAAUGACUCCUCCACCUUGUUCUGCUUUUGACUCCAUGUCUUCACCAUAUGUGCGCAGUUCAUUCAACACAACCACCAUACGAGAAUUCAGCUCAGCCUUCAAAUUUGGAAGAACCAUUCUGAUAUGCUGCUCCAAGAUCUGAUUCAGUUUCUUUGCUAAUUGGGGAAUUCCGCACCGAUCAGAGAGGUCAUUAUAUACAGGAUGAUCACGGAAGAACUGCUCCUCACAUACAAGCGCAUCUCGAAUGCUCCGAUUAUAAUUAAUAUCCUCCUGACAGCGAUUCACAACGCCAACAUAACCAAGACGAAGUGGAACAACUCCUCCAAGCAGAAGGUUACAUGCAUUAGUUCCUCUGUCCAUUAU
rnacentral:misc_RNA from 1 species